rnacentral:sRNA from 3 species
GCCCGGUAGGCAAGGCUACCGCAGGGAUACGGACUGCUGCCGCGGAGGGGUGGAGACACCCUGAGCAGGUAUGAGCAGACAAUGUCGAAAUACAAGGCAUGGUCUAACGCAGUUUCAUCGCCCGGCGAUGCUGAAGCUCGAACGGUAG